rnacentral:rRNA from 2 species
UCGAGCGAUGAAACUUUAACAGAACCCUUCGGGGCGAAGAUAAAGUGGAUUAGCGGCGGACGGGUGAGUAACACGUGAGUAACCUGCCUUAGACAUUGGGAUAGCCUCGGGAAACCGGGAUUAAUACCAAAUAAAAUCAUAAUGACACAUGUCAUAACGAUCAAAACUCCGGUGGUCUAAGAUGGACUCGCGUCCCAUUAGCUAGUUGGUAGAGUAAAAGCCUACCAAGGCGACGAUGGGUAGCCGGCCUGAGAGGGUGAACGGCCACAUUGGAACUGAGAAACGGUCCAAACUCCUACGGGAGGCAGCAGUGGGGAAUAUUGCACAAUGGAGGGAACUCUGAUGCAGCGACGCCGCGUGAACGAAGAAGGCUUUCGAGUCGUAAAGUUCUUUUAUAUGGGAAGAUAAUGACGGUACCAUAAGAAAAAGCCCCGGCUAACUACGUGCCAGCAGCCGCGGUAAUACGUAGGGGGCUAGCGUUGUCCGGAAUCACUGGGCGUAAAGGGUUCGCAGGCGGAAAUGCAAGUCAGAUGUAAAAGGCAGUAGCUUAACUACUGUAAGCAUUUGAAACUGCAUAUCUUGAGAAGAGUAGAGGUAAGUGGAAUUUUUAGUGUAGCGGUGAAAUGCGUAGAUAUUAAAAAGAAUACCGGUGGCGAAGGCGACUUACUGGGCUCAUUCUGACGCUGAGGAACGAAAGC